GUGUUUAAUGUUACACGAUAAUUUAUUGUUUUUCCGAAAAAACUCUACAAUUAGGUGAUUGCUGUAGUUUAUAGUUUAUAUGGUAAAAAUAAAUGUAGUUUAUACAAUUUUAGUAAAAUUUAUUUGUCCUUCCAAUGAAAGUUUUCUGGCUCCGACUCUGUAAAGAUAAUGCAAGCCUAGAUUGGCGGUAAGCCUUAAUUUUACCAUCUAAUUAUGUGACUGAUUUACGUGUACAAUCUGGUCUUUCAUGCAUCAAUACACGAAGUCCCCUUACUCAUUAUGAACAAACAACAUCACACUAUAACAAUUAUCAAAGCACCUGAGACCUACUUUUAUGAAGAACAAAAUAUUACUCUUUGAUCCUGGCCUUUGUCAACCACAAGUCUCGCUGUUACUAUUUGGUUUGGAUUAGUAAAAUGGCAGAGCCUGCUAGAGUUCUAGACAACAAGGUUGAUGAUGAGGUGCAGGAAGACAGAGAAAUGGAGCAGAACGAAGAAUCGGUAGCAUCGCAAGAAUUGCCAAACUCAGUGUUUACAGCUGAGUUGAACCUCCUUAUCGUGUUUCUCUCAUUGAUUUCUUUGUCAACCGAAGAAAGCUUAAACUCUGUGGAGAGAGAACCAGAAAGAAGAAAUGAUGGAGCUAAAGCUAUCAAGAGAUUACAAAAGAAAAAACAGGAGACAGAUGAGGCCAAGCCGGUCCGGCGACGAACUCAAAGGUUUCAAACGAGAAUAAGGGAUUCUAGGCAUGGCCGACGAGUAUAAAGAAUGAUGUCGAUGAAGGAGGAAACUGCUCAGCAAGGAAAGAGAUGGCAAACGAUGUCAUACAAAAGUUUCCAAUUUCUCAUAACUAUAUUUUAUCCUAUUUUUCUCUACACUUAUUCCCCACAAUUAGACAAAAAGAAAACUAAGAAAGGAAAGGAGCAUGCUUGGAAUUCUUUCAAAUAAUAUUAUAAUCAUAUUUGUCCUAUUUUCAUGCAUCAUUCUGUAACGAAAUUGAUUGACAAACACAUUAUAUUAGAUUAUUGAUAUAUAAUGCAUGUUUUUUUCUUCUUUUUCUGCAA